rnacentral:lncRNA from 1 species
AGCACAUGACUCUUUCUUUUCUUUGGAAGCAUUGAUUGUUAUUUUUAUUUUUACUAGUUCACCAUUUAGUUUUCUUCAAGCAACUGUGCAUUUACUUUGAGCUGGAACGAAUUUUUCAUUUUACUUUCUUCGGCAGAAGACGCUGCAAUGGAUGCCAUCUAAUGCAUUUCGGUUGAAGUAGGCAUAAGUGUGAUUCACUUUUAUUCUAGAAAGGCAUUGAUUUAUUUUGGUGGUGCACAUUGCGUCCAAAGGUCACGUCCANGAGGAGAUUGAUAUUUUCAUUUUGAAGCCAAGUUACAUCCAGCGAAGGGGAUUCAUUUCCAAUUCAAAGUUGUACGGUGCAUUCCUUUUU